rnacentral:tRNA from 1 species
GGGGUUGUGGCUCAGCGGUAGAGCGCUCACCUAGCACAUGUGAGGCCCUGGGUUCAAUCCUCAGCACCA